AUCCAGCUGACGAGUCCCAAAUAGGACGCGGUGCGCGUUAUCCUGGAU
rfam:Trichobilharzia regenti genome assembly, scaffold: TRE_scaffold0000312